rnacentral:tRNA from 1 species
GCGCUUUUAGCUCAGUUGGAUAGAGCAGCAGCCUUCUAAGCUGUAGGUCACAGGUUCAAAUCCUGUAAAGCGCA